UACGAAGGGGGGCUAGCGUUGCUCGGAAUCACUGGGCGUAAAGGGCGCGUAGGCGGCUUUGUAAGUCGGGGGUGAAAGCCUGUGGCUCAACCACAGAAUUGCCUUCGAUACUGCAUGGCUUGAGACCGGAAGAGGUAAGUGGAACUGCGAGUGUAGGGGUGAAAUUCGUAGAUAUUCGCAAGAACACCAGUGGCGAAGGCGGCUCACUGGCCCGGUACUGACGCUGAGGCACGAAAGCGUGGGGAGCAAACAGG
rnacentral:rRNA from 1 species